rnacentral:tRNA from 1 species
AAGAAAGUGGCAGAGUGGUUAUGUGGUUGGCUUGAAACUAAUUUAUGGAGGUUCGACUCCUUCCUUUCUCG